AUGUCUAAGUACAAAUUCUAAAACAAAUGAAACCGCAAAGGGCUCAUUAAAUCAGUUAUGAUUUAUUAACUCGUGCGUCCCACAUGGAUAACUGGGGAAAUUCUAAAGCUAAAACAUGCAAAUGGCCCUGACUUACGGAGGGGCGCUUUUAUUAAAUCAAAAUCAAUCGGGGCAACCCGUUUUUGUGAUGACUCUGGACAACUUUGUGCCGACCGCAUGGCCUUGUGCCGGCGGCGAAUCUUUCAAAUGUCUGCCCUAUCAACUUUCGAUGGUAGGUGACAUGCCUACCAGGGUUGUAACGGUUAACGAAAAAUCAGGGUCCGAUUCCGGAGAGGGAGCCUGAAAAACGGCUACCACAUCCAAGGAAGGCAGCAGGCGCCCAAAUUACCCAC
rnacentral:rRNA from 1 species